UACAGAGGAGCCAAGCGUUGUCCGGAAUUACUGGGCGUAAAGGGCGCGUAGGCGGCCUUGUAAGUCCUGUGUGAAAUCCCCCGGCUCAACUGGGGAACUGCACAGGAGACUGCUUGGCUUGAGUUCGGGAGAGGGAAGCGGAAUUCCGGGUGUAGCGGUGAAAUGCGUAGAUAUCCGGAGGAACACCGGUGGCGAAGGCGGCUUCCUGGACCGACACUGACGCUGAGGCGCGAAAGCCAGGGGAGCAAACGGG
rnacentral:rRNA from 1 species